GUUUUUCUAUGUAGGAACCCCAUAUUUUUUUCGGUGCAAAAUUUUAGAGCGAAACCGGAAAGGACGAGACGUCCCAACAAUAAUCGCGUCACUUACAUGCCAAAAUAGGGAAUUCUAUAACGUCUAUGUAGUGGAAUCGAUGAAGUCUAUGUGACAGAAUCUGGUUAAUUGUCUAUGUGGUAAGAUCCAGGUGUUGCUGUACAAAUGAGUUUGGUGGAGGGACCAAGCCAGGAGCGCGCCAUAGUGGCGAUUUUAGUCACAAUAUUAUGCAUAUAGAGGACACCAUGG